AAAAUUGUUGAGAAGAAAUCUGACAGAUGUAUAGUGUUUAAGAACUGCACAGGGCAGGAUAACUAUGUUGCCUCACAAAAUCAAAUUGAAAAGAUUUUAGGUGAUCGUACACUAAGAAUAUAUUAUUAUCUCACUGGAGAAUGGAAAGUCAACGUGUGUGGAGAAAACACUGGCGAUAUCAUAGAUGAUAUUGACAUCAGGUUCCUGAAGAAGACGGCUUUCAGUCUUUACAGUGAUUUGAAAUCCAGGAACAGCAAGAGAAAGAUCUUGUUGAGACCAUCACCAUGAAUCAAUUUUAUCUAUCUUUUUAUUUGACCUUCCUGCAUUAUUAAACAGCUACACUGAGCUUUUUAUGU
rnacentral:lncRNA from 1 species